rnacentral:misc_RNA from 1 species
GAUGAAGAACGCAGCGAAAUGCGAUAAGUAAUGUGAAUUGCAGAAUUCAGUGAAUCAUCGAAUCUUUGAACGCACAUUGCGCCCGCCAGUAUUCUGGUGGGCAUGCCUGUCUGAGCGUCAUUUCAACCCUCAUGCCCCUAGGGCGUGGUGUUGGGGAUCGGCCAAAGCCCGCGAGGGACGGCCGGCCCCUAAAUCUAGUGGCGGACCCGUCGUGGCCUCCUCUGCGAAGUAGUGAUAUUCCGCAUCGGAGAGCGAUGAGCCCCUGCCGUUAAACCCCCAACUUUCCAAGGUUGACCUCAGAUCAGGUAGGAAUACCCGCUGAACUUAAGCAUAUCAAUAAGCGGAGGA